AUUGAACGCUGGCGGCAUGCCUUACACAUGCAAGUCGAACGGCAGCACGGGGGCAACCCUGGUGGCGAGUGGCGAACGGGUGAGUAACACAUCGGAACGUGUCCUGUUGUGGGGGAUAACCAGUCGAAAGACUGGCUAAUACCGCAUGAGCUGGAGACAGGAAAGCGGGGGACCUGAAAGGGCCUCGUGCGAUUGGAGCGGCCGAUGUCCGAUUAGCUAGUUGGUGGGGAAAGGCCCACCAAGGCGACGAUCGGUAGCUGGCCUGAGAGGAUGAUCAGCCACACUGGGACUGAGACACGGCCCAGACUCCUACGGGAGGCAGCAGUGGGGAAUUUGGACAAUGGGGGCAACCCUGAUCCAGCCAUGCCGCGUGAGUGAAGAAGGCCUGG
rnacentral:rRNA from 1 species